rnacentral:lncRNA from 1 species
UGCAAACAAAUGUGGGAAAUGCAACAGUGAUGGAGACCACGACUUCUAAUGAACAAAUGUGUCCUAAAACAUGUCCACAAGAAUCCAUAACCCCUAAAACAUGUCAGGGCCAAACACAAAACAUUAGAAUAUAAGAGUUUUAUAGCGAGAAUUUUGAUGAUUACCCACCCUGCAUAAUGCUUAGAAGGAAGUUGACCAUCAAAGCCCGGAAAGUUCAACACCUUUGCACCAUCAGGCGAUGUUAACACAAAGUAAAAGCACUGGAAAGCGAUGAUAAUGGCGAGGAAGAAGAACGAUGAAGAUUGAGACAGAACAGACAUGGCUGUACCAGUUGUAAAGAGUAAAACAUGGUUACUCCAAUACCCACUAUUUAUACAAGAAAUGGCACUGAGAUGCGACGAUUAAAAUGGUGAAUUAAUGUGGAGUUGAUAUUUCUUGGUUGAAUAAGUAAGGAAUUUAUUAUCUUCUCCAUGAAUAGUAUCAAGUUAAUUCCAAUAGCCGUAUACCAGAAAUGGCA